AGUGAACGCUGGCGGUAGGCCUAACACAUGCAAGUCGAACGGCAGCACAGUAAGAGCUUCCUCUUACGGGUGGCGAGUGGCGGACGGGUGAGGAAUACAUCGGAAUCUACUUUUUCGUGGGGGAUAACGUAGGGAAACUUACGCUAAUACCGCAUACGACCUACGGGUGAAAGCAGGGGAUCUUCGGACCUUGCGCGAUUGAAUGAGCCGAUGUCGGAUUAGCUAGUUGGCGGGGUAAAGGCCCACCAAGGCGACGAUCCGUAGCUGGUCUGAGAGGAUGAUCAGCCACACUGGAACUGAGACACGGUCCAGACUCCUACGGGAGGCAGCAGUGGGGAAUAUUGGACAAUGGGCGCAAGCCUGAUCCAGCCAUACCGCGUGGGUGAAGAAGGCCUUCGGGUUGUAAAGCCCUUUUGUUGGGAAAGAAAAGCAGCAGGUUAAUACCCCGCUGUUCUGACGGUACCCAAAGAAUAAGCAUCGGCUAACUUCGU
rnacentral:rRNA from 1 species